AGAUAAGUAGAAAGUACUAAGCAUAAUUCACAGAUUGUUGUCUGUGAGAUAACUAGUGAGUGAUAGUAAUAUUGUAGUGAGGUAUUUUAAAUAAAGAGUAUUAUUUCUUUUAAAGUUGAAGUAGUCUCUUGACAUUACUAAGUUGUACUAUUAUAGUGAUAAUAUUACUUCACUCGGGUAUUGAAUUUUACCCUGCUAAAAUAUUUGGUAUUAUUAUUACUCUCUUGUGUUAUUAUUAUUUGCUGUAGAUAUUAUUUCUGGACGAGAUUAUUUAUUUUAUCCAAAUACAAUUAACUUAUUAGCAACUUCAACAGCAACAGGUACCUAAACAAGAUGAUGGGUUGUUAGAAAAAAAGCCAAUGGUGCAACAAAUAAUUGGGGCUAAUGGAAAGAUGCAAGAAAAGGUAGCAGUGCGUGACUCGGCGAUCAAGGGUAUUAAAGUUGAUGGAAAACAUCUGUGGCUCUAAAUAAUCAUCCUCAAAGGAAAUUGCCCUUGGGCACAAAUAUCAACUCAAAGGAGCAUGGCCUAAUCAACUGACGAUUGUGAGUCUGACAAUUGACAGAGAUCUUGAUCAAGAGCAAGAAUUUCUUUAAACCAGCCGACUAGUGGAAAUACUAGCACUACAAAAAAAUGGAAUUAGCUACGAACGUUAUCGUUAAAUUGUCCGUAGCUAGUAAAAUUUCUUAAUAAUCUAUCACUAAUUCAUCGUUGAAUAAUAUUAAUGACAAAAUAUUUUAUUUAGC
rnacentral:lncRNA from 1 species